rnacentral:rRNA from 1 species
GACGAACGCUGGCGGCGUGCUUAACACAUGCAAGUCGAACGGAAAGGCCCUGCUUUUGUGGGGUGCUCGAGUGGCGAACGGGUGAGUAACACGUGAGUAACCUGCCCUUGACUUUGGGAUAACUUCAGGAAACUGGGGCUAAUACCGGAUAGGAGCUCCUACUGCAUGGUGGGGGUUGGAAAGUUUCGGCGGUUGGGGAUGGACUCGCGGCUUAUCAGCUUGUUGGUGGGGUAGUGGCUUACCAAGGCUUUGACGGGUAGCCGGCCUGAGAGGGUGACCGGCCACAUUGGAACUGAGAUACGGCCCAGACUCCUACGGGAGGCAGCAGUGGGGAAUAUUGCACAAUGGGCGGAAGCCUGAUGCAGCAACGCCGCGUGCGGGAUGACGGCCUUCGGGUUGUAAACCGCUUUCGCCUGUGACGAAGCGUGAGUGACGGUAAUGGGUAAAGAAGCACCGGCUAACUACGUG